rnacentral:rRNA from 1 species
UACGUAGGGUGCAAGCGUUGUCCGGAAUUAUUGGGCGUAAAGAGCUCGUAGGCGGUCUGUCGCGUCUGCUGUGAAAACUCGGGGCUUAACCCCGGGCCUGCAGUGGGUACGGGCAGACUAGGGUGCGGUAGGGGAGACUGGAAUUCCUGGUGUAGCGGUGAAAUGCGCAGAUAUCAGGAAGAACACCCGUGGCUAAGGCGGCUCUCUAGUACGGUACUGACGCUGAGACGCGAAAGCGUGGGGAGCGAACAGG